GUGAGGAAUAUUGGUCAAUGGACGAGAGUCUGAACCAACCAAGUAGCGUGAAGGAUGACUGCCCUAUGGGUUGUAAACUUCUUUUAUAAGGGAAUAAAGUGAGGGACGUGUCCCUUUUUGUAUGUACCUUAUGAAUAAGGAUCGGCUAACUCCGUGCCAGCAGCCGCGGUAAUACGGAGGAUCCAAGCGUUAUCCGGAUUUAUUGGGUUUAAAGGGAGCGUAGGUUGACAUAUAAGUCAGCUGUGAAAGUUUACGGCUCAACCGUGAAAUUGCAGUUGAUACUGUAUGUCUUGAGUGUACAAGAGGUGGGCGGAAUUCGUGGUGUAGCGGUGAAAUGCUUAGAUAUCACGAAGAACUCCAAUUGCGAAGGCAGCUCACUGGGGUACAACUGACACUGAGGCUCGAAAGUGUGGGUAUCAAACAGGAUUAGAUACCCCAGUAGUCC
rnacentral:rRNA from 1 species